rnacentral:rRNA from 1 species
UACGUAGGGUGCAAGCGUUGUCCGGAUUUAUUGGGUUUAAAGGGUGCGUAGGCGGCCCUGUAAGUCAGUGGUGAAAUACUCCAGCUUAACUGGAGGGGUGCCAUUGAUACUGCAGGGCUUGAGUUAAGUUGAAGUUGGCGGAAUUGACGGUGUAGCGGUGAAAUGCUUAGAUAUCAGGAGGAACACCGGUGGCGAAGGCGGGUCUCUGGGCAGUAACUGACGCUGAGGAGCGAAAGCGUGGGGAGCGAACAGG